ensembl:lncRNA
AUGGGAGACAGGCCCACCUUCCACUCUAGAAACACAAAGGAUACCUCUUGCAGAUUUUUCACUAUGUAUGUGAAAAAUCAUUUUGAACUAUCAGUUAUUGGUUCAAAAGUGAGGCAUGAAUGUGGACUUAGUCACUUGGACAGCAAGAAGAUCAAACCAGUCAAUCCUAAAGGAAGUCAACCAUGAAUAUUCUUUAGAAGGACUAGUGCGAAAGCUAAAGUUCCAAACUUCGGCCGCCUGCUGGAAAGAGUCAACUCUUUGGAAAAGACGCUGAUGCUGGGAAAGACUGAAGGAAAGAGGAGAAGGGGCGACAGAGGAUGAGAUGGUUGGAUCGCAUCACCGACUCAAUGGACGUGAGUUUGAGCAAACUCAUGGAGAUAGUGAAGGACAGGGAGGCCUGGCAUGCUGUAGUUCAUGGGGUCACAGAGUCAGACAUGACUUAGUGACUGAACAACCACAGCAAGAAGACUGAGCAAAAUCUAUAUUAUCUCUGUAUAUUUUGCUACUGUAGCAAGUUAUAAGCUCUAGAAAAUGCACUUGAAAAUAUAAAAUCAGAGAGUGAAAUAGUUUUCCAAGCCAUUCUUCCCAUUUAACACUCAAAAUUUCUAGUAAGCACAAAUGGAAUUUAUUUUUGCAUGAAUUUGUUUUUGUGAUCACUCUUCAUCUGUAAACAUGGAGCAGCACUAUAGUAUCAUGUAAACUAAUUAAGAAAACACAUAGCCAAACACAUAGAAAAGGAAACCCCUAACUCUAAAUAUGAGAAAUUAAUAUAACUCAAAUCCAAAAUGAACCUUGGAGUGAUGCCCAAAGGACUAUCAGGUACAGCCUUGAGUCUCUUUAGGAUAGGUCAUUAGAAGAGAAAUCCCCAUAGAGAGACACAGGCAAGUACAAAGAUGUGUUGCUGAAUUGCCAGGUCCUAGACAGAAUUAUAGGUAAUAUCAUGAGAGAAAAAUCGAGGACCCAAGUCUCCAUCAAAAGCUACUGUGUGGUCAAAACUUAUAGUAACUACAUGAAGCAGAAAUAACAAGUUUUGAAAUUAAAUAGAAAUUAAAUUAAAUUUGUCAGUGACCAAAAGAAUCCUCUGGGACUGAUGCUUAAGGAAACAAGAAAGAAAAAAAAAAAAUUAUUCUAAGGAUAAUUCUGUACCCCGGGAGGCAUGGGGCACACAAAAGAAAAAAUAAAUUAC